rnacentral:rRNA from 1 species
UGGGGAAUCUUCGGCAAUGGGCGCAAGCCUGACCGAGCCAUGCCGCGUGAGCGAUGAAGGCCCUAGGGUUGUAAAGCUCUUUCGCCAGGGAUGAUAAUGACAGUACCUGGUAAAGAAACCCCGGCUAACUCCGUGCCAGCAGCCGCGGUAAUACGGAGGGGGUUAGCGUUGUUCGGAAUUACUGGGCGUAAAGCGCACGUAGGCGGAUUAGUCAGUCAGAGGUGAAAUCCCAGGGCUCAACCCUGGAACUGCCUUUGAUACUGCUAGUCUUGAGUUCGAGAGAGGUGAGUGGAAUUCCGAGUGUAGAGGUGAAAUUCGUAGAUAUUCGGAGGAACACCAGUGGCGAAGGCGGCUCACUGGCUCGAUACUGACGCUGAGGUGCGAAAGCGUGGGGAGCAAACAGGAUUAGAUACCCCCGUAGUCC